UCCCCCCUGAGUUGGUAAAAUUAGAAACUGCUGGAGUUUGGAUUCUGCACUGUGUUGUCCUGUGAAGAUCCUGGUGUGCCUGCAAUUGUCUUCCUCCUUAGGUUUUUCAAGAGGAUGCUUUAAGAAGAAAGAGGAAAAAAAGUGGAUCAAGUGCUUACUUAGUUUUCCUUCAGGAAGACUCACUUGCUCCAAAACAGUCACACACACACACACACAGACACGCAGACACACACACACACACACACACAGACACACACACACACACACACCACAUUGCAGCAGCACUGAAUGUCCAUGCUUUACUUUUCUUUGCUUGUCAGAUGCCUAUGACAGUGCUUAACAAAUAUUUCCUGGAAUUAAUCUAAUCUUUGUUAAGAAUUUUCCCAAAGAACCUUUU
rnacentral:lncRNA from 1 species